GUAGCUCAGUUGUUAGAGCAUGAGACUCUUAAUCUCAGGGUUGUGGGUUCAAGUCCAACGGUGGGCA